UGCUGAUGAAUUUUAUGUAUGGGCUUAGGUGGAAUUCUAAUUUUCUUAUCUUUUGUUUUUGUACAUUUAAGAAUCCUAAUAUAAUUUAAGUAGCCCGUAUUUGAGUUUUUACUAUUUUUGGCUGUAAUGGAUAGCGUUGCCAUGAAUAGUCAUGUACAUGUCAUUUGGAGGAUUUAAAUACACAUUUUGGAUGGGUAUAUGGCUAGGAUUGGAAUUCCUGGGGUGUAUGGUUUAUAUGCAUGUGUCCAGCUUUGAGAUACUGCCAAAUAUUUUUCCAAAGUGGUUGUAACCAUUUACCUUUCACUCCAAUGUAAGAGUUCUAGUUUCUCUGCUCGUUGAUUUUUAAUGUAUAUGACAAAUCAAUUUAUGAUUGUCGUUUAUAUUGAUUUCUAAAAAUUCUUUAUUUAUUAUUUAAAAUAUUUCGUAUUUCCUAAACUUACCUCUUAGCUUUUAGAAGCUUCUUGUAUAUUAGAAUCUUUCAUGUGGAAAUUCAAAUAAGCUAUAGUUAAUGGCAGUUUGUAUAUUUGCUUUUCAUUUCCACAGUUUUUACUUCUUCUCAGUCUACAUAAUUUGGCUGAGUCCUCAAAUAAAAAAUUGAUGCUCACAACCAGAAGGACCCACAACGAGAAUAUACAACUAUGUACUAAGGGGCUUUGGGGAGAAGAGGAAGAAAAAAAAUUAAUAUUAAUUAAAAUUAACAGAAAUUAUUCAAAUACUGUGUGGAUGAAUUAUAUAAACACCCCUACCCACCCACCUCCACAAGUGCCUGAAGUUACGCAACACUAUCUGGUGAUUUGAAGAGGAGUAGAACCACCACCUAGAGAGAAUUGUGAUGCUCAACAUUACAUAACUCCUUAGAGCUAGAUCUGGAACUAGAGUUUUUUCAAGUUGUACUUUUAUCUCAGACAAAUAAAUAUUGAAAUUAUUUAAUUCA
rnacentral:lncRNA from 1 species